rnacentral:rRNA from 1 species
GUGCAGCAGUCCCGAAAACUCCACAAUGUGGGAAACCACGAUGGGGGAACUCCCAGUGCGCACACUUUGUGUGCGCUGUUCUCCUGCCUAAAAAGCAGGAGAAGUAAGGGCCGGGUAAGACGGGUGCCAGCCGCCGCGGUAAUACCCGCGGCCCGAGUGUGCUCAUUAUUAUUGAGUCUAAAACGUCCGUAGCCGGUCGGGUAGAUUCCUGGGUAAAUCGAAUCGCUUAACGAUCCGAAUUCCGGGUAGACCGACAAACUUGGGACCGGGAGAGGUUGGAGGUACUUCUGGGGUAGGGGUAAAAUCCUGUAAUCCUAGGAGGACCACCAGUGGCGAAAGCGUCCAACUAGAACGGAUCCGACGGUAAGGGACGAAGCCCUGGGGCGCAAACGGGAUUAGAUACCACUGUAGUCC